CGGGCGCCCUCCGCCGGGCCUCCGCGGCGCCGGGGUCCAGAAGGACGCACGGGGUGGCGGGAGGGCCGGCGGGAUCUGGAACCCGGAGAACUCGCCCUGCCGAUGUCUUUUAUUUCUUAUUAGCGACCACGUUCUGUGCUCUUGGAACGACGUCUCGCCUUUGAACGCAGCCGGACUCUGUUAUUAGCGGUGCUCUACCGAGGCCUGGGGUUGCCCCAGCGCGCCGAGCGCCAAUUUGGACGUCUACCCAGAUAUUUCCAACAAGCUGUGUUGAAUUGUGGAGUUCCGACUCUUCCCUCUGAAUCACUACGUCCUCUCCUCCCCGAGUUUUCUUUCGCUCGUAUCUAACAUUACUGAUUUUUCUGAGUAUUUCUAAAAUGGGCCCCGUUUGAGAAAUACUGCACAAUAAUGCGUCUCUCCAAUACCUACCACCCCCCCACCACCAGCCUCAACAAGUUUUAUCAUUCUCCUCCGUGGAAGGGUGGAGAUGAAAAACCCUUGCAGAGAAACCUACGAGUCUACUUCCGUUGUUGGACAGAGUUACAAUAAAUUGAAACUGUCUAAGCUGUCGGGUUGGUGGGGUGUUUUUGGUUUUGUUUUUGUUUCUUUCAGUUACCAGCUCCCCCUACUCAUUCGUGUUUAGCGCGUGUAUUUAAACAUUUUUCUCUCACAGUUCCCAGGUCUGGGAACUCUUUACUCCAGAUUGUGCUAGAUAUGCAACAAUCAGGAUGGCCAGUCUCUUACUCCCAAAGCAGAUUAGGAGCCCGAGUGAAUUGGAAGGCUUAGAAUUUCAAACAAUGCUGCAAAAUUUACUUUGCUAUCUGGAAAUGGUAAAGGAAAUACAGGUUAGCUAACGAGACCUUGCUCAGCAGUCAACUCAAUUUCCCUUCCUGCCAAGGCUUGACUCUUUUUCCAGUCAAAUACAAUGAUCUAAUCUUGACUGAGUUCUUGGAGACUUCUCAAAAACACACUGACCAUUUGUGAAAAUAUGCUAAUCAGGAGAAAAAACAACCUGCUGCUCUAGAAGGGAAAGAAGAGGAAGGGGCAGAAGAA